AAUGAACGCUGGCGGCGCGCCUAAUACAUGCAAGUCGAGCGAGAAGACGUAGCAAUACGUUUGUAAAGCGGCGAACGGGUGAGGAAUACAUGGGUAACCUACCCUCGAGUGGGGAAUAACUAGCCGAAAGGUUAGCUAAUACCGCGUACGCUUCUUGGACUUCGGUUCAGGGAGGAAAGCGAUGCCGAGGGUAUCGCGCUCUUGGAUGGGCUCAUGUCCUAUCAGCUUGUUGGGAGGUAACGGCUCACCAAGGCUUCGACGGGUAGCUGGUCUGAGAGGACGAUCAGCCACACUGGCACUGCGACACGGGCCAGACUCCUACGGGAGGCAGCAGUAAGGAAUAUUGCGCAAUGGGCGAAAGCCUGACGCAGCGACGCCGCGUGGGGGAUGAAGGU
rnacentral:rRNA from 1 species